rnacentral:tRNA from 3 species
GCGGAUAUGGUUGAGUGGUAAAAUACCUCUUUGCCAAGGAGGUGACGCGGGUUCGAUUCCCGCUAUCCGCC